UGCAGCCUCACCUUCAAGCAGACAGAG
rnacentral:piRNA from 1 species